rnacentral:miRNA from 1 species
CAGCAGACACCUUCCAGCCAAUCAGCAGCCGACCCUCCCUCCCAGACCCUCCCACCUCCUGGACAGCUCACUAAGAAUGCAGCUUCACAAUGAAUGUAAACUGGAUGCUGUCCAGGAGGUGGGAGGGUCUGGGAGGGAGGGUCUGCUGCUGAUUGGCUGGAAUGUGUCUGCUG